GUACUGUGCGAACGUUAUUCGGAAUCACUGGGCUUAAAGGGUGCGUAGGCGGCCAAUUAAGUAGGGUGUGAAAGGCUUCGGCUCAACCGGAGCAUUGCGCUCUAGACUGCUUGGCUCGAGUGAGAUAGGGGUGUGCGGAACUUCCAGUGGAGCGGUGAAAUGUGUUGAUAUUGGAAGGAACGCCGGUGGCGAAAGCGGCACACUGGGUCUUAACUGACGCUGAGGCACGAAAGCCAGGGGAGCGAACGGGAUUAGAUACCCCGGUAGUCCUGGCUGUAAACGAUGAGCACUAGACGGGAGGGGCUUUAUGCCCAUUCGGUCGUCGCGAAAGCACUAAGUGCUCCGCCUGGGGAGUAUGGUCGCAAGGCUG
rnacentral:rRNA from 1 species